rnacentral:misc_RNA from 1 species
GGUUUUUAUUUUAUACUUUAAACCUUGAAUUUAUUUUUUAAAUGUUUAUAUUAUUUGAAUAAAACAUUCAAAUAAUAUAAAAAAUAAUAUAUAUAUUGACAUGGAUUAAACAAAGAUAUAUAUUAUUCUAUGUUGUAUAAACAAAUUGGCAAAAUAGAGAUGGAAGAUAAAAAUAU